rnacentral:rRNA from 1 species
UACGAAGGGGGCUAGCGUUGCUCGGAAUCACUGGGCGUAAAGCGCACGUAGGCGGGUCGUUAAGUCGGGGGUGAAAUCCUGGAGCUCAACUCCAGAACUGCCUUCGAUACUGGCGAUCUUGAGUCUGGGAGAGGUGAGUGGAACUCCGAGUGUAGAGGUGAAAUUCGUAGAUAUUCGGAAGAACACCAAUGGCGAAGGCAGCUCGCUGGAACGGUACUGACGCUGAGGCGCGAAAGCGUGGGGAGCAAACAGG